AUAUAUAUAUAUAUAGUUUGGUAUUCUUGGCUCUGCUGUUUACAUUGCAGAUUGCUAUAAUUUCAAGGAGUUAUAUUAUAAAUAAAAUGAUGCACUUUAGGACGUUUUCUAUUUUUGAAAUCGGAACAUGAAUCAUUCACAUGACCAAAAAUUGUAUUUUUUAAAACAAAUACAUGUCUAGUUUGUCCUUUCUGAGUAGUUAUUCUCUUAAAUAAGCUAUAAUAUAAAUCAAAUCAUUACCAGUUGACUUUCAAAGCACAUCUGUUUGAGUAUUGUUUUGAAAAUACUGAUAUGCUACAGAACUUGAAAAGAGGAAAAUCUAUAUAAAUGAGAAGCUACUAAAUGUUUUGAAAUCUAUUGUCUCUGCCAAAGGUAAAUUAAGUAAAAGAUUUAUUCAGGAAACCCCCCCACUCAAAUUUGUAUGAUUGAAUAAAAGAAGACACCAAGUUAUAGUAAAAUAAAUAGUGUAUGGAAUGUCGUGUUUUCUUUUGUAGUUUCUAAUCAUCAAUAUAUUUCCUAGAAUAAAUGAAGAACAAAUGAAGGGGAGGAGCCCUGUUUAUGCUGGAUUCUAUCUGAAGACAUGUUAGUCGCCUCCAGAAUGUGUGAUGGAACCAGCCUGUGGCCUCUGACCCUUCCCUUCGGUAAGGAAUCACGCUGCUCCCCGAGCUCCUCAGAAGCCUCAUGAGGAUUAAGAUUUGUUGUUCUGUCUCCAGGGAGGGCACCCGAAGGUGACACUAACUGGGCGCAAGCUGGAUGUGCCUGUGAUGCUGGGUUGAAGAACAGGCUGGUGCUCUGUGCUCAGCUGCCUUUGAAACAAUUCAUGGAAGAGGCUGGAGGGAUGCAGAAAGAAAAACAUUAAGAAAAACAAUUGUUUAAGUACAUUUCCAAAGUCUAGGAGGCCAUCAUAGGUAAACACGCGAACCAUUCUCUACUUUGAAGCUAAUGAAGCCACCAGAAAACUGUGAUGGCGCAUUUCAGUUGUGUGAGGUGAGUGCCUCGCCCCUGGGGGGAGGUCAGGUCUGCAGGUGUUCUCUAAGUGACUCAAAUACACAUUCAAAAUAUAGUAAACAUGAAAUUUUUUUAAAAAAUGAAGGAUUGGAGUAAAGACCUUGUCCCAGUCCUGACACCAGGAUUCAACCCGAGAUAUGGCUGACUCGGGAGCACGAAGGUACAAGCACUGCUAACAGCACAAUUGCAUGCUUUCUGCCAAAACUGAAGCUCUCCCUGAAUAGUUUGAUUUUUGAAAUACUGGGUCCAAAGUAAUAGGCAGUAGGUAUUGAUCCUCCGUUUUCUUAAAUCCUAUUUCGUUGUUGCCCCUACGGGCGACUAGGGGGACUAGACAGUGAUGCGGGACCAGACAGUGAUGCUGGCCCUAGUACACCGGCUUCUAUAGCCUGGUGCAAAGACCGAGGGUCCUCCAAGCCCCAAGCCCCACCCUUGCCCCCCUGGGAAGUGGACAGCCUGAAGGGGAUUAGAGGAGGUACUGGGGAUUGAACCCAGGGCCUUGUGCAUGCUAAGCAUGCGCUCUACCACUUGAGCUACACCCUCCCCACUUUAAUCUUUCGAUGGUCUCCUUACUACCUCCUCUAGAAGUGGAUUCUGAAUCUUGUAAGACAAAAUGUAUCAGAGUUCUCCCUGAGCUGGGUCAGCUUAUCAAGGCUAUAAAUACACCGUUGAAUUUCAUAUUCAGUAAAAGCCAAAAGUCAAAAUUCCCAAGUGCAUUUUUAGAAUGCUGGUUGGCAGGCCAACAAAUGGGAUUUGGCAGGAACUGGCUUGUUGACAGCUUCUUAGUUUUCUUCUCCAUCAACAAGGCUUAUACCAGAGAGGGGCUCUGAGUUGUGCAGCAUCUGCCCCAGGGAAUGCACCCCAAUGCAAAAUGGACUAAGAACCUCCAUGUCUCAGCUGGUUCUCUGUGUGUAUGAAUUCUGUUACUGUGACUUUUUUUUUUAAUGAGGUAUGGUGAGUUUACAAUGUUGUGUCAAUUUCUGGUGUACAGCACAAUGCUUCAGUCAUACAUGAAUAUACAUAUAUUUGUUUUCAUAUUCUUUUUCACCAUAAGCUACUGUAAGAUAUUGUAUACAGUUCCCUGUGCUAUGCAGUAUAAACUUGUUAUCUAUUUUAUAUGUGCUAGUCAGCAUCUACAAAUCUCGAACUCUCAGUUUUUCCUUUCCCAUUCCCUUCCCCGCUGGUAACCACAAGCCUGUUUUCCAUGUCUGUUACUGUGACUUGAAACUCACAGUCUUUUACAUGUGAGUUUCUUUCAAAAGCAAUUCAAAGAUGCUAAGAAAUCCUGUCAUGCUUUUGGUUCUACGGCUUUCAGUGCUUCCUGGUAAGAUAUUUUGUGUUUUGUCUGUAACUUUCUGUUAAUUUUGAAGAACUUAAAAUGACAGGACAAGAUUAGACAAAGAGGAGGGAAGGCAGGGAGGGAGACAGUGAAGAAUCUGUUUCUCUCUGAUAUCAGAGAGCAGGGUUUCUUGAGCUGGAAUACUGGCUAGGGGUCGAAUAGUACAGUUGUCCCAUGGGUGCCUAACAACCUGUGUUUCUGAUAAGCUUCCAGGGGCUUUGAUGCUGCUGAUCCCAAGUCCCUCGUUUAAGUAGAGGGUGCAGACUGCAUCCUGGGUGUUUGUGGAAAUAAGCAGCUUCAGUCAAUUCAAAAUCCAAAAUUGACAGCGAUCGGCACACUUGCCAACACCAGUGGAGGCCAAAUGCUGCUUGAUGCUUAAGAUCCAGACUAUAGACAGAUGGCUUAGCUCUGUGACCAGACACACUCCUUACCCUCCCUGUCUCCGUUUCUCCAUCUGAAAAAUGGGAAUAAUUGUCAUAGCUGCCUCACCAAGGUUAGUAUGGGAACUUACCUGGAUGAACAUAAAGGGAUCACACUCUAAAUCUUCAGUCAAUAAUGGUGGUGGGCUAUUAUCAUCAGCAUUGAGACAAAGAUACGCUCUUACGUGGAAAUCCAACAAGACAUUUUGUAUCGCUACAGAAAAGGAAUUGUAUUUCCCUCACCACAACUCCCCUCACCCUGUGAUCCCUUGUUUGUAUAAGUCAGAAACAGCGGGCAUCUCCAGCCCUUUACAAAUCAGUACUAACUGGUAAGCAUGAUUUUAUGGAAACACCGACCCAUUCUCUUGGUCUGAAAAGUAAAAUUCUGACUAUUCUCAAAGCAAUUUGCAUCAAAACCUGUGUGCAGCUUUCUCCAAAAGAUCUUUGCUGGCUAAAUUCCCUCCCUCACAGAGCAGGAAAGACUCCUCUUAAGUCUACUCCCUGAAACAUUUUGGGAGGUCCAUAUCUGCUCAGACACGUAAGAAGAAUUAACUGAGAUGGCAGCUGAAACCAACAUGGGAAUGCCAAGUUCUGUGGAGGGAAGGAACAGAAUAACCUUUGAACUGAUUUCUAGGUCGUUUGGUGUCUUGAAAUCUCUGUCUCAGGGUGUAUUUUUAAACCCCUAAAAACUAGGCGUACCCUAGGGAGGAGACUUGCUGAUUUUGGAAGCUCCUAAUUAGUGUGCUACAUUUCAUCAAGCCUGUGGGCAAGGCAGAGACUGGGUGGGGUCUGGGGUCCUCCCCCAGGCCCUCAUCAGCCCCAGAGGGGCAAAGUGGACGUGCCACUGCUCAGCCGGCAACAGGGCAAGUUUUGGGUUCAGAUGAUCUGACGCUAGCAUUGAGUGAGGUGCUGCCCCCCAUCACCUCGGCAACAGAAACUCCAGGUCUCAUCUCCAUACAAUCUGCCAGUGACUUGAACUUGAGAGUCCUUGAGUCUACUACACCAACAUCCGAGCUCCUGGGAGCGCCCAGGCAGGAAAGGUCAGGAGACCCAUUUUUAACAAGAAGCCUCUGGCAGUGGCAGGCUGGUCCUGCUGGGACCACAAGCCAGUACCUAGUUGGCACUUGCUGUUGACCUUGGCCCUCAAGAGCUCCAGCUUCUUAUGACACCGUGGGGAACGGGGUGUCAUUUCUGAAUCUGCUCUUUGGCUUUCUUUUUCUCCUAAUCCUAACGAAACAGUGACUGGGAAAGACUUCUGGUUUAACAUUUUCCUUCAUCUGAGGAGUGUGUGUGUGUUCUUAUUUAAUUCCUCAGGAAGUUCAACACCAAUGGGAGCUGAAUCAAUAAUUACCAGAGAUUGUAUCCAACUCCCCUGGGAUUAGGCCCCAGAAAAUCUGCUUUCAAAAGAUAUGAAGACCAUGUGAUUGUGCCUCCUGCCAAGCAUCCUGCCAUUCUUGCAAGAAAAACAAAAAAGAAAAGCUGACAUCUGAACUAAUUUUCUCCAUGCCACACACAGCUCAGAAGGACACAUGCCAUUAGUUUUAGAAGGAAAUAAAGCACCAAAGCCUGGAUUAGCUAAUCUGUGGGAGAGGCCGCUAUUAAUACAGAUGCAAAGAGUCUGCCCACAGUGCGGUGGGCCCCUCCUCCAGCACCUGUUCUGUUGCCUGUCCCAGUUUCUCGCUACACAAGUGAAAGUUGUUUCAGAUGGACGCCCAAACCCACACCUGAUUCGGUGUGGGCGAGCAGCCCUGCCUGUGUUUGAGUCCAUCUGGGUUAGCAUCCCAAAGAAAAGAGCUGUAGUCAGAGACUGACAUCUGCCACACUCUUCGCAGGGCUCUGCUCUCAGGAGAAUUUCUGAAGCCAUGAGGACCUACUCUCUUCCUUGUCACAAGCCCCUCCUCAGCUUUGUGAGACACUGUUCCUGCAGUACUUGAAUAUAUCACUCCAUUCUCUCCUGGAUGCAAGGUCUCUACUGGGAAAUCUGCUGAUAGCCUUAUGAGAAAAGAUCAUUUUAGAAUGAAAUUUUGGAGUAAGCUAUUAAUUUCAUGAACUUGGAAGUCCAUAUUUCUCCCAGGUUUGAGAAAUUCUCAGCCAUUAUUUCUUUAAAUAAGCUUUCUACCUCUUUCUCUGUCUCUUCUCCUUUUGUAACUCCAAUAAUAUGUACAUUGUUUCUCUUAACAGGGUCUCCUAAGUCCUAUAGGUGUUCUUCAGUCCUUUUCAUUCUUUUUGCUCCUCUGGAUAAUUUCAGUUGAUCUGACUCACUGAAUCUUUCUUCUUCAUCUUCAAGUCUGAUGUUGAAGCUCUCUACUGAAUUUUUCAAUUCAGUCAUUGUAUUCUUCAGCUCCAAAAUUUCUUUUUUAGAUUUUCUGUCUCUUUGAUGUACGUCUUAUUUGUUCUUGUCCUAUUUUCCAGAUAUGAUUAAAUUGUUUGUUCUCUUGUAGUCCUCAGAGCAUCUUUAGACAAUUUUCUUAAACUAUCAGGCAAUCCUGGAUCUCUGUUUCUUUAGGGCCAGUUACUGGAGGUUGACUGUAUUCCUUUGAUGGAGAGGUCUCCCUGAUUCUUCAUGAUCCCUGUAGCCUUGCAUGAGUGUCUGCAUUUCAAGAAGCAGUCAUCUCUUACAGACAUUAUGGACUGACUUUGGGUGAUGGAGGCUGGGUAUCCUACGUUGCCAUUUUGAUGAUGUCACCUCCAGUCCUGCAACUCAGGAGCAGCCAGAUGGAAGGGCAGGGCUGCAACAAGCCAGGAGCAUUUCCAAGGCUGCAGAGAAAGGAGACAUUCUGCAUGUGCAGGUGAGAAAGGACGGAUAAUCAAAUCAUUCUUGCAGAGGAAUGAGAAGUUAGACGAAGGACAAGGAAGCAUCGUGAGGAAAGAUCAGGGCUGAGAGAGACACUGGGGAAAUGUGAGUUUAAAAAUCCACUGCCAUUUUAUCCAGCAGAGUGCAACACAGCCACAAGUGCAAGGAAUACGGGCUAAUUUGGUUUAAAAACAAAAACCCCUCCCACACAAGAGCCAAUUUUUCACCCCAUCCCCAGCCC